CUUCUCACCCCGAGGGAGGCGGGAAGCUACCGCUUCUAGAAUGGAAGCUUCUCCUUUACUUUUUUAGAGCGUAUCGCUAUUUUGAAAUAAAAAAAAGGUUUAUGGGUGAAGUAAUCGGAAUGACAAGUGGUUACGGUUGCGGAAAGCGGAGAAAGUCGGGAACCGUCGGUUACCUUUUGAAUCAAAGUAGCGACAAGCCG
rnacentral:lncRNA from 1 species